rnacentral:lncRNA from 1 species
CCCCACUAAAAUACCAGGCAACGCUUAGCAGCUGCUGUCCUAACAGGCUACUUUCUGCAACUGCUGACGCAGUGGAUUCCAAAGCAUGAGUUGGGCUGCUUUUGAAUAGUGGGAGACGGGAGUUUACCCCGAUCACAGAAACCAUACCAACUGAAAGACAAAUCAGCAUCUUGCUGGACGACCCCUCACAGAGCUCCUAGAUCCUUGAAGUGUGAACUUCAGCAGCUGAGAGAGAUGGGGUCUCACUAUGUUGCCCAGGCUGGUCUUGAACUCCUGGACUCAAGCAAUCCUCUCACCUCAGCCUCCCAAAGUGCUGGGAUUACAGAUUUUAUAAAUAUUGUUGAUCUUUUUGAAAAACCAACUGUUGGCUUCAUUUUCUUUAUUGUGUAAUACUACCUUAGAGGAUAGCAGUUCCUAAUACCUACUUUUAUUAUGAGUCUCUGCCAUUUAUAAAGAACUGUGGACAGCACAGGGAAUGGGGGAAGAAAACUCUGGUGCAGCUUGAAUCUUGGUAGCAAAACAGUGACUUCAUCAGAAAAUUUUGUCACUCUCUAUUAGAUAAUGGAGUUUGACCAUUUGGAAUUUGGAAUUUUUCAAAUGAAUAUGACAAAAAUUUAAAAAACUCUUGUAUUACUAUGUGAUAACACAGAUCUUUACAACUUUAUGUUUGUUUUAUCAAUUACAUAUUAAAGAUAGAAAAUGGAUGUGUUGUGAUUCCAAUUUGUUCCUGGCUAAAGGCAUGUCUUACCAACAGCUUUU